rnacentral:rRNA from 1 species
AGAGUUUGAUCAUGGCUCAGGAUGAAUGGUGGNUGUAUGGAUAAGGCAUGCAAGUCGAACGGACCGCAAGGUCAGUGGCAGACGAGGUAGUAACACGUAGGUACGUACUCCCAAGUCCGGUAUAGCUCGUCGAAAGACGGGGUAAUCCCGGAUGGUCCCGCAAGGGUAAAGAUUUAUCGCUUGGGAAGCGGCCUGCGUAGUAUCAGCUAGUUGGUAGGGUAAUGGCCUACCAAGGCUACGACGCUUAGGGGAGCUGAGAGGCUGACCCCCACCGAUGGGACUGAGACACGGCCCAUACUCCUACGGGAGGCCGCAGUCGAGAAUCUUCCGCAAUGGACGAAAGUCUGACGGAGCGAUACAGCGUGGUGGACGAAGUGCUUCGGCACGUAAACACCUUUUAUGUGGGACGAAAUUAUUGACGGUACCACAUGAAUAAGGGGCUCCUAACUCUGUGCCAGCAGGAGCGGUAAUACAGAGGCCCCAAGCAUUAUCCGGAAUCAUUGGGCGUAAAGGGUGUCAAGGCGGUUAUGUUAGUCGUUCGUUAAAUCCGGUGGCUCAACCUCCGGCCUGCGAGCGAAACGGCAUAACUUGAGGGUGGGAGAGGUGUGUGGAACUCACGGUGUAGGGGUGAAAUCCGUUGAUAUCGUGGGGAACACCAAAGGCGAAGGCAGCACACUGGCCCAUUCCUGACGCUCACACACGAAAGCCAGGGUAGCGAACGGGAUUAGAUACCCCGGUAGU